UGGGCGUUGCUCUGGCAACGUCGCGGCCUUGGCCCCGCCAUAGCCCGUGAGGAGGGCGCGCCUCCCCUCAGCCCCAACCCCGCCAAAACGAGGGGGUGGGUCCUGUUGCUUUUUAUUGAAAGCCUCAAUUAAAAUUAAUCUGGGAGGGCAAUAAUAAGGAAGGAAAUGAAGGGAUGGAUAUAAAAGUAUAUGUGUACUGCGGUGUCAUUACUUGUCGGUGGCGAUUAAGGGAGUCCUGCUGUCUGGAAAUUGGCUUUGCCUCCCAGGAAACCUGAGGAAAGCGCUGCCCUAGUUAAUGCUGCCGUAGCUCUUGGGAGAGGCUUGGAAUGAGAUAGAUACAGGUUUUCUUUUGAAAUAUGCUCUUGAAUAAAUUAGUUUGCGUCCAGAAAUGGCAUCUGUUUUCCCUGGCUCAGAUAUUUUUCUGGAAAAGUGUUUAGGUAUGCAGCUCACACGGAAAGUGGGACUAAUAUCUAAGCAGCUUUGAAAAUCGGCGCUGUGUUGUUUUGAGUCAGGACAGAAAUGCUGUUUUAAUUCCAAAGUUUGAAUACAGCAAUGCUGCGGGGUCAGUAAGCCCUGGAGAAGGAAAGGAUGGGCCCUUAGAUGUAAAAGUUAUGAUGUGGAAAAUUAAGUGUUUGGAAGAGUUAAGUGGCCUGGUGUUCAGCGCCACCACCUAACAACAAAGCUUCUCUUUUAUUUUCAAAGAAGUAGCUGAAAACUCUGUGUCUCUUGGAGGUCACUUGCUGAUUUAUCUCCAAUUCACAGCUCAUUAGAAGGUGUGUAACUCUUCAGAGAUGUUGUUAUUUAACAGGCGAAGAUAAAGCCUUGAAUGAGAAUCAGCCAGUGGAGCCACAAAGGGCAGCUGCAGUUUUUGCUCCCUGCACAGGAGGGUGCUCAGCCUCUGUCUUUAUCUGCAGGCAGGAGCAGCUCCCGUGCUCAUCAGGACCAGGUGGAGAAGCCGUUUCCUGAACCGGCCUUUUCCUGUAGUGACACUGGAGGAUCUGUUCAAUCCAGUGACUCAGAAAUUAUUCAGAUGUUCAGGAAUUUCGGGAGGGAUCAAAGAGGGGUCCUGGAUGUUGUUGCCUGGUCAGGUUUUAGUCAAUUCAGCCAAAGCACAGUGGCCAGGCUUGUCUGGUUCAGGAGGAAAUGCAGAGAUGGAUUUUAGAGAUGAAUUUUAGAGAUGAAUUUUUGACCAGACCGCGUUUGCGAUCAAGUUCAUUUCCACAGAAGGACUUCCCCUGUGCAUUCCAUGUUUCUGUCCCAGCUCUGUCAAUGUCUGGGUGCUGUUCCCAGUGCUGAGGUGCACUGGAAGCUGAUCCUUGGCUUUCCCCCUGGCCCAGCCUUUGUCUGCAGCCGUGGGUGAGGGCAGGCCCGGCUGCUGUGCCUGCUGCAGGGAGAUAACGGGGUGCUUGUUAACCACGGCUCUUAUCUCCCUGCCCUGUACCCUGCUCCUGCCUGCUCUGCUCACCCCAGCCCUCAGCAGCUUGGUGACAUUUCUGUCACAAAAAAAAGAGACCCCAAACAUCUCCAGUUCUGUCCCUCAGAAUGGGGAUUUUGGGAUUGAUACAAUCAGAGGUUGUUUAAUGGAAGUCUUGAGUUGAACAAAAAUCUCUGAACUAAAUCACAGCACACCCAUAUCCUUCAAGCUGUCAAACAAAACAUCUGGUUAUGAUAAUCAUUAUCUUAAUUGAAGAGUUCUAGCUCAUGCCAUGCUUUUCUUCAUUAAUGGAGAGAAUUAAUGAAAGAAUACUUAGGAAAGUACUUAACUAUUUAACUAAGAGCUACUUCUGAAGUGAAACACUGCUGAAGGAAUACUGGAAUUCAUCUUAGCCUCCUAGAUAAACUUCUUCCUGGUGAACUUCACCAAGUUAACCAUUUUUCAGCCUCCACUGCUGCAGUACAAAUGUGCUUCCUUAAAUCUGGCUUGCUUGCAGACAGAGUCUGACACACUGGAUUUAGUACAGCUGCAGAAUUAACAUUCAGAACUCCCAUGCUGCACAGUUUCCCCACGUGUUACAUAAAAAUGCUGUGCAGUUCCUCUCUCCAAAGCUCCUCUCUCAGGGCUUUAGCUGCCUGUUUGCCUCCCCUUUGGUUGCUGUUUUCAUUUAUACAAAUCCAAUUUUACACACUCGCCCCAAUUACCGUUCAUUGGGAGAUAAAUAUGGUAAAUUGAUAAUUCUGCCUGAUAUUGGCUUAACAUGCAAGGUGUGACAGCUUCAGAACGUAUUUUGAAGGUUUGUUGUGUUGCAGGUGAGGGGAGGAAAUGUGGUUUUUUUUGAACACCUGAGCUGCAGAGCUGUGAUGGUUUGGAUGUUGUUGAGUUUCAACGUGCCCAGUUUGGGAUCCAUCUCUGUCUUGUUUAAUCCUUCAAGGUAGAGAAUGGCUCAGAUUCCAUCCCCAAAUUUUCAGAAUUUGUCAUCCAGAGACUGAAUUUCAUUCUGGAAGGUUUUUGGGAAAGGAACUGAUUUGAUUUUGGGAGUAGAUGGAUUUUAAAGUAAGAUUUAGGUAAAUACCAUCAGGAACAUCUCCUCCUCCUCCAUGGCUUUUCAUAGCAAAAGUAGCUCUGUUAUUUUUGUAUUCUAAAGAAAUAUUUCCUAACCUUUAUUUUACAAAGAGUCCCUUUUAGCAACCAACUAAAUUUUUUUUACUUUUCUCAGUUUUUCAGCCCAGAUUUGGAAAUCAUUCCUUCCCUCUUUAUCCUAAUGGUCCUUCCCCUGCAGGAGAAUCUCAGCCUGGAUUCCAGUGGAGUCAGCAGUGAAGGAUGGACUGGGAGCAGUGUGAAAUUCUUGUUGCAUCUCCUGACAGGAGAGCAGAGCCACAGAGCAGGAAACAGCAUCAACAUUCUUCAUAAAGCAGAGAAAAUAGCUUUAUCAGUUACCAGCGAGCUCAUCACAGCACCAGCUGAAAGUUAUUAUGUAAAAUGGGUAAAUUGGAGUCUUUAAAGGAGCUGCCAACUUGCAUUUGCCUGAGUUACUUCAGCAGUGGAGAGCAGAGGAAGAAUUCCAGACACGUCAUCCUGAUUUCACAAGUCUGCAGAGAUCUCCAGAGUGGACUUACCCAUCUGUGAGGAAGGCUAUACAUGCAAAUUCAGAUUCCUGAAGCAUUCCCACUAACUCUGCCCUUCUGUUCUGGCAGAAUGAGGAAAAACUGUGGGCUGCCAAAAGGUGAAGACAACCACUUUAUCUGCAAGAGAAUAUUCAUUUAUGGCACUUCACUGGUGAUACAGGUUUGAAAUGGGAAAAUGGGCUUAAAGCCGCCUUCAGGAGAGAUUUACUCUCAGCUUUCUCCAGUGGGAUUGCUUUGAGUCUGUAAGGGCAUCAUGGUUGAGGGCAUGAGGAUGAGGACAUCAAAGCCUUUGCCCACUGAUGACAAUUUCUCUGGAGACAAACACAGCUCAGAAGACAAAUGUUAUGAGCUACCUGUAAGUUCUGGUUCACAAAACAGAUGAGAAUCCAGAGAUACUCCUGAACUUGGAAAUGAAAUUUAUUCUCAAGGUAUUAAUUGCUGGCUUGUGAAAUAGCUUGUCUGGGAAAAUGGAAAGAAUGGACAGCCUCAAAAAACUCCCUUUCCCCUGCCCUGAAGAACUGCAGCCACAGUGUUUCAUGUGGAGCAGGGCUCCUCACAAAUCACCAGUUUCCCAAAGAAAGGAGGUUCUUAUUCAUAAUUCAGGUAUUUUGGGUGUUUUCCCUUUGAUAUUCUGCCUGUUGUACCUAUAGACAUCCCAAUUUCUAAAAGCCUGCUGGACCUUGUGCUAAACCUUGGCUUUUUUCCUGGAUUACACUUCCAUGGAAUACUUGGCCAUGGAUUAACAGUUUCACAGUUAUGUGCCCAAAGUUCUUUUGCCUUCGUGCUGAUUUAAUUCCUUUUCUACUCCCAUCUCUCUUCUCAGGUGGAGCCUCAUCUUGAGCAGCCUUGGGAGGGCCAAAGGUUCUCCCUUUUCCAGUUCCCUGCCUGGAUUUUAGCAGAUACCAUUUUUUAGCAUCUCAACGAGGAAAUCACAGCAAUUUCCAUGGGAAGAAUCCCAGAGAUGACAGGGCUUCCCCCCAAAACACUGCCUGUGUAAUUGCUGAAGACAUUCCAAGCCCCUCUAACGAAGUGCUGUCUGCCAGUCAUUCUGUUCUCCUUGCAGGACCAUCUGUUGCACUUCAAAUAUGUAAAGGUCUCUAUCAUUUAUUGCUCCAAACAAAUCCAGGCCUUUGUCUGAUGUGCUGGAGCUCCUGAAUGGAUUCUCAAGGUGGUUUCAGUCACAAAGGGCAGGGUGUUGCCUUUGGUUGUCCUCCCUCAGCUCAAAUUUCAGAGCACAAAAAUACUGAUUAAACCAAUAGCUGGAUAUUUUCAAUUUCUUUAGAAAUGAAUUACGAACAAUAACAACUAAAAAUAUCUGAAAUACGUUUUUAUUCAGCCAGGAGGACAUUGGAAGGUUUUUGCCUCUGGUGAACAA